AGAGCGAACGCUGGCGGCAGGCUUAAUACAUGCAAGUCGAGCGCCCGUAGCAAUACGGGAGCGGCAGACGGGUGAGUAACGCGUGGGAACGUACCCUUUGGUUCGGAACAACACAGGGAAACUUGUGCUAAUACCGGAUAAGCCCUUACGGGGAAAGAUUUAUCGCCGAAGGAUCGGCCCGCGUCUGAUUAGCUAGUUGGUGAGGUAAUGGCUCACCAAGGCGACGAUCAGUAGCUGGUCUGAGAGGAUGAUCAGCCACACUGGGACUGAGACACGGCCCAGACUCCUACGGGAGGCAGCAGUAGGGAAUAUUGGACAAUGGGGGCAACCCUGAUCCAGCCAUGCCGCGUGAGUGAUGAAGGCCUUAGGGUUGUAAAGCUCUUUUGUGCGGGAAGAUAAUGACGGUACCGCAAGAAUAAGCCCCGGCUAACUUCGCGCCAGCAGCCGC
rnacentral:rRNA from 1 species